CAGGGUAAUAAUAUCAGUAGUACUCCGUACCCCCAGGGUAAUAAUAUCAGUAGUACUCCAUACCCCCAGGGUAAUAACAUCAGUAGUACUCCGUACCCCCAGGGUAAUAAUAUCAGUAGUACUCCGUACCCCCAGGGUAAUAAUAUCAGUAGUACUCCGUACCCCCAGGGUAAUAAAAUCUGUCGUACUCCGUACCCCAAGGGUAAGAUUUGAAUACCCCUGGUCUAUCCACAGUUUUUCUAGGUUUGGUCAGGUCUUCUAAACAGGUGCACUGUGAACAGUAGCAUGUUGAGGUAACCAGGGAAACAGCGCUAGCAUUGGUUGGUUCCUGUAGGGAGGGAGCUGUAAAGGGGGCGGGGUGAGGUUAGCAGCCCUGUUAGUGGUUUAACUGGUUAACAAGGGUUCUAGUCUCACCUGCCACCAUUCCAGAGGUUACUGUAGCGAUUAGAGGGGUUUUGGUUCGGUCGCUGAUCUGGGCCAGACUCUUGAAGAGGAGUCCGUCCUGAGCCAUGGCCCAGAUGACACGAGGCAUGGGGAACAUGGAGCCUAGCAGGCUAGUAGGGAGAUAGGAGAGCCGUGCCACGCGGGGAGAUACACAGGGAGAUACAGCGUUAAACACACACAAAGCUACUGGACACGGGAGAAUGCAACACACGAUUACACUUUCCUUUGUGUCCAUAAUGUAUUAUUCACACAUAUUAUUAUAUUAUUAUUAUUAUUAUUAUUAUUAUUAUAUAUUAUUAUAUUAGCAUCAUUAUCAUCUGGAACAGUAACAACGAUCAGCAUCUAUUCAUCUAAGGCGUAGCCCAUUAGUCUAAUAAUCUAAGGUACAGCCCAUUAGUCUAAUAAUCUAAGGUAUAGCCCAUUAGUCUAAUAAUCUAAGGUAUAGCCCAUUAAUCUAAUAAUCUAAGGUAUAGCCCAUUAAUCUAAUAAUCUAAAGUGUAGCCCAUUAGUCUAAUAAUCUAAGGUGUAGCCCAUUAGUCUAAUAAUCUAAGGCCUAGCCCAUUAAUCUAAUAAUCUAAGGUAUAGCCCAUUAGUCUAAUAAUCUAAGGUAUAGCCCAUUAGUCUAAUAAUCUAAGGCGUAGCCCAUUAAUCUAAUAAUCUAAGGCGUAGCCCAUUAAUCUAAUAAUCUAAGGUAUAGCCCAUUAG
rnacentral:lncRNA from 13 species